GUGCUAGCUUCGGCAGCACAUAUACUAGAAUUGGAACGAUACAGAGAAGAUUAGCAUGCCCCCUGUGCAAGGAUAACAGAGCUUAAGAAAUUGAAAAAUAAUCA